UACAGAGGUCUCGAGCGUUGUUCGGAUUCAUUGGGCGUAAAGGGUGCGUAGGUGGCAUGGUAAGUCGGAUAUGAAAUCCCGGGGCUUAACCCCGGAACUGCAUUCGAUACUGCCAGGCUAGAGUACUGGAGAGGAGAUUGGAAUUUACGGUGUAGCAGUGAAAUGCGUAGAUAUCGUAAGGAAGACCAGUGGCGAAGGCGGGUCUCUGGACAGUUCCUGACGCUGAGGCACGAAGGCCAGGGGAGCAAACGGG
rnacentral:rRNA from 1 species